CCCCAGGGGGCAGGCGGUGAGUCUGGGUGCAGUUUGGACAGGACGAUGGUUGGCAGGGACUAGACAGAGCCAAGCACCGGUGCUGGAAGGGACACCACUGCUCCAGCGGAGGACAAGAGGGCGGAUCACUAGUCUUUGUGUUGUUUGGGACACAAACGGCCACUGGAGCACACGCUGGUCCUCCACAACCUGAAACACAAAAGCAAAGUGUUGCAGAGAGAGUCCUGUGGUGUUUGUCUGGACGGGGACAGGAAGGAGCUCAGAAGGGAGACUUUUCUACACUGGCUGACGACUCACAUCUGUGAAAACGACAUCUAAGAGAGACUGGACAGGGGGUUACAAAAUACAAGCAGAGAGCGAACAAGAAAAAGGAUCUUUGUGGGGGAAAAAACAAGUUCCUUAUAUAAGCAAGGGGGUGGAGAAACAUCCCUCCAUCCGCAGCAGGUUUUCUUUUUUUUCUCUCCGCUCAUUCACUUCAGUCUGUGAGGGCAGGGCCUCUACCCUCACAUUAACACGCACACGCCAUGAACUCCUCCUUCCAGGGUGUCAAAGUAGCGAUGCAGCUGUGCUAAUACAGAUGUGGUUUUUGCGACAUUCUCCAACUUAAUGGAGGCCGUCAGAGCAGCACAAGGUCAUACGAAUGUUACGCACUGUACUUUACACACACAUGUACAGUAUAUAAAACAAAGACGCAAUGCUUUUUCUUUUUUUUUUCUUAAGACACUGCAUUGUUGCCAAGGCAAAGCUCUGACGUCGCACGCAUCUGAACAUGCACCACACUGUGAGAACUACACAGCAUUCCAGCAUUUUAGUGCAGCCACAGAACAAGUGGAAACAAGAGACAUAAAACGUAAUAGAUGAAUAAAACUAAAUAAAGCAGAGCACUUGAUUAACUUUAAGACAACACACACACAUGAAUUCAGACAAAUAGGAGCUCAUACAGUGACAUGAGGGGAGAAGCAAGAAAACACACACAGCUUUGUAAACCGUGUACUUUUUCCAUCUUCUUUUGUGUUUUUCGCUGAUUGAAAGGGAGACAUCUCUUUUGUUGUCUGUGUUUUUUUGGCUCAGGAUGUCAGACUGUCACAGAUCUUGCAGGUUAUCACCUCCAUCGAGGACAUUGCGUUUGUUUAUCUGUCUGUCUGUGAGCAGAAUAACUCAGAUAGUUCAGAACAGGUUUUAGAUUUCAUUUUCUGUGGAUGUAGGUUAUGGCUGAAGGACUAGAUGAGAGUUUGAUGAUGAUCCAGAUACAGAUUUGUGAUAUUUUUUUGAAAAACAACCGUUAGGGGAGUGCACUGACACGGUGUUUGUUUUGUACCUGCUAACCUAAUGCAGUGUCAAAGCUCUUCUUCUGAAGCAGAGAAAUAUGUGGCCAUGUAUAUAUUUGUGUUAACAGCACACUGUAAUACAAACAGGAUUACUAAUUACACAAGUAAGACUGAGAAUAAACCCUAAAAAGCAAUUCCACAGAGGGGGACAACUGAAGUCCCAUUUGUGUACUCUAUAAAGACGAGGAAUAAAACACUCACUGUGUGACU